CCUACGGGCGGCAGCAGUGAGGAAUAUUGGUCAAUGGCCGGAAGGCUGAACCAGCCAUGCCGCGUGAAGGUCAGUGCCCUAUGGGCGUUAAACUUCUUGUGGGCGGGAGCAAGAAUGGUCACGUGGGGCCAGACGAGAGUACCGUACGAAUAAGAAGCGGCGAACUCCGGGCCAGCAGCCGCGGUAAGACGGGGGAUGCAAUCGUUAUCCGGAGUUCUUGGGGUUCAAGGGUGCGUAGGCUGUGAGGUAAGUCAGCGGUGAAAUGCCCCCGCUCAACGGGGGGAAGUGCCAUUGAUACUGCCUUGCUGGACUGCGGCUUCCGUGGGAGGACU
rnacentral:rRNA from 1 species